rnacentral:rRNA from 1 species
GAUGAACGCUGGCGGCGUGCUUAACACAUGCAAGUCGAACGGAAAGGCUCCUGCUUGCAGGGGUACUCGAGUGGCGAACGGGUGAGUAACACGUGGGUGAUCUGCCCUGCACUUCGGGAUAAGCCUGGGAAACUGGGUCUAAUACCGGAUAGGACGAUGGUUUGGAUGCCAUUGUGGAAAGUUUUUCGGUGUGGGAUGAGCUCGCGGCCUAUCAGCUUGUUGGUGGGGUAAUGGCCUACCAAGGCGUCGACGGGUAGCCGGUCUGAGAGGGUGUACGGCCACAUUGGGACUGAGAUACGGCCCAGACUCCUACGGGAGGCAGCAGUGGGGAAUAUUGCACAAUGGGCGCAAGCCUGAUGCAGCGACGCCGCGUGGGGGAUGACGGCCUUCGGGUUGUAAACUCCUUUCGCUAGGGACGAAGCGCAAGUGACGGUACCUGGAGAAGAAGCACCGGCUAACUACGUG